AAUGAUGAAAAUAUGGAGUUAAAGAAGCAAAAGGCUAAUCUUGGUGAAGAUUACAUUUGGACUGAUUACAUGUCAUUGCCAUUUACUCAAAAUGUGAUUAGUGAAACUCUGAGAAUGGCAAACAUAAUCAAUGGGGUCUGGAGAAAAGCUCUCAAGGAUGUUCAAAACUUCAAAUCAAAGGUUACUUGAUACCUAAGGG